AAAAAAAAAAAAAAAAGUCGAAAUUAUGAGAUAAAAAGUCAUAAUUAUGAGAUAAAAAGUCAAAAUUAUGAGAUUAAAAAGUCAUAAUUAUGAGAUAAAGAGUCGAAAUUAUGAGAUUAAAAAGUCAUAAUUAUGAGAUUAAAAAUCGAAAUUAUGUGAUAGUAAGUGCGCAUGUUUUAUGGCGCCGUCUUCAAGGUCUCACUUCACCUCACCGGAUGCACCAUGCAAACAAUACUCAUCAGUAAAUUAGGAAAGUAUUAUAGGUGUCUUUGAUAGAUAUUAAAUAUUACUAUUCAUUUAAUCAGCCCGUCCGUG